AUGUGGUGAUAGUAGUGGACUGUCAGAAUUUAUUAACAUUAGUGCCACUAAAGUUGGUGUAAAACCCCCCACUGCUAAAUUUGACUGGCUUUAA
rnacentral:sRNA from 1 species